rnacentral:lncRNA from 1 species
GACCUUUGAACUUUUCAUCUAUCAGACUCUCUCUAGCCCACUCUGAAACCCUAAUCAUCUCCCACAUGUUUCUACCAUGUUUCCACCAGAAUAUAUGCUACUCCAAGACAUGGAUGACAUGUGCUCACUCUCUCUCACCAUUAAACCUAUGCUACUCGAAGUUUGGAGGCCCGACUUCAAUGGAUCUCUUUAGAUCUGUAGAUCUAUGGCCUCUCCGGCCAUUAUUCCAGCGUGUUCGAUCAUUAUGAGUCUCUUCGACUCAGGAUCCAACUAUGAUCAAGACCUUUCUCAUUCUAGGGUUUUCUCUGCUUUUAAGCCGUCUGAGGUUCUGUACUUGCUAUUUCUUUUAGAUUUGUGACAUGUAUGGUAUUUGCUUGACUUAUUAAAGGUUUUCCCCAAAUUUCCUUUUCAAAAUCGCUCAAAUUCGAUUUUAGGGUUUCUGAAAAAAGAUUUCUUCAAAUACCUUUCUAAAUCUUCUAUUCUUUCUUUAUAUGUGCCUUGUGCUCGAUUAUUUUCUUUUACCAUGCAUGAGUUUUCUCUCUUGCCUCUUCUCUAUUAUUCAGGACUUUUCUAUUUUGCUCGCAUGAUUAAUUCGUGUUGUUAAUCCUCAUGCUUUGCUGUAUGUGUUUAUGUUUGAGCUCUUUGAUUUUGUUCACCUUACUGAGUUCUGUUUUUUUUCAUGCUAAACAUGUUUUACCUACUUUGUUUAAAGGUCGUAAUAUCUCUUUCUUCUGAAACUUGUUUAAAUUCCAAGUUCUAUCAAGCAUGACUUUGAGUCAGUGUUCUUGCUAUCGUGUGGGUUUGUCUCUCAUAAGUCUUUGAAAGAGACUUCUGAGCUUCUUUCAAUGACCAGUUUCUCAGCUCUUUGUCUGACUCUAUUCGAAACCCUAGGUUUUGGGUGGUAUCUUUGGCGAAAUGUUAUUGUGGAACCCUAGGCUUUCAGACUCAUUAAGAGCCUGUAAUUGAACUUGAAUCUCCUUCGCUUGUUACUUUGAGACUUUCAGUGUUAAACUAUUUUUCUAUAGUAAAUGAAUCUUCUUUUUGAUAUGUGUGCUUUACAUAUGAGAAAAUUCUUCUUUCAACAGGGUUUCACCAACCAAAUGAUUGAUUCUGAAAUCCGUUUAAUAAGGCUAAGUAUUUGUCACUGAUUUUUCGAUUAAAACUCCUUUACCCUAUUGGCUGUUUACUUGGUAUUUUUGUGUAAAAAUCUCUGGUUUGUGAUGCUUUCAUUAAAUACAUGAUCUUGUGUAUUCCUUCUAUAAUUAUGUACCAAAUUUUAAAUUAUUUUUAUAUUUAUGUGACUCUUUCCUUAAUUACUUUAGAUUCCCUGUGAUUACAAUUGGUUUCGGGAUCCUCUUGGUUGAUUUUCGAACUGAUGCCCUAUUUUUUUACUUUAUUAAUACAUUGUUAUUCCAACUUUCCUUAAUUGCCCACUAUGUAUUUGGCCUUGUUUAUGCAUUAUUGGUUUAUUUUCCCUAAUCAACCUUACAAACUGAUUUCUUUUCCUUAUUCUACCUUGACCAAUUGUUUGAACUAGACUCCUUAAUUAAAGGAGUCCAAUUGUCUUAAUUGACACUAAUUGAUUGCUAUUUCCAUGUUUGUGUACUCUUUUCUAUGUACUACUUUUUUUCAAAACUAUAUAAAGACAUUUCGUCCCUCUUUAAAAACACACGGAGAUUCACACGAACAAAACACCUCCAAUCGUAUACUUUCUGGAAAUAUGUUUUAAAUCAACACUCUGCUUUGCUUGAGAUCUUUUGGAGUUACUUUGUUUGCAAAUUGGAUUUCUCUCAAGACUACUAUUUUUUUACUUGUUUUCCUUUGAAACUGUUAUGUUUUUCAUUUAGUUUCUGCCUCAUCCCUAUGUGUUUACCUUACAGUUCCAACAUUUUCAUUUACUUUACUGAUCAUGUUCAGUGAUUUGUGUUAAUUAUUUUCCUUUCUUGCUUUUGUUUCUAUUAUGAAUCCCUUCCUAUAUUCCCUUCAAUGUGUUUGAGUUAAGGUUCUUGGACUUGCAGUAUCUUAAUUACUGCCCAAGCUAUAACCUGAUCCACAAUGGAUCCUAACUCCUCAGUUUGGCUAACAGGCUGGUCAGGGGUGUGCAGCAUUCCCAAUUGCUGGGCAUGACCACCAAACUUCCAUGGCUCUCCCUCAUUCCCAUCCCCCUAUGCACUUAAACUUAUUCUUAGACUAUUAAGUUCUGCACCUCUUUUAUGAGAAUUGCUUUGGGACCGUGAGUUCCCUCUGAACUUGGACAUCUGAGGGCUGACAUUUCCACACUGCACUAUGUUCUUAAUUAUGCAAUGUUUUGGGGUGUAAGCACUGCCGGAGUCCUUUAAGACUCUUGGGAACUUUGUCACAUCCCAAAUAUGAGAAAGGCUUUUGAAAAUCUGAUCCUAGAAGUUGGUUUAUAUCAUAUUGUUGGACUUUGAGUCUGAAUUAGGCUGUAUGGAUGUAGUUGGAGCUUUCUGAUGUAAUUUUAUUUUUCUUUUCUGGUUCAUUCGGGUCUGUAAUAGUAUGUAAUAACUAUUGGGGAUGGUUAGUGGAAAG